UACAUUCUUUUAUCCUAAGAAUAUUUACCAUUGCCAGCCUAAAUUUCCUCUUUAACAUUACAAAAUCAUACACCCAGGCUGUAACAUGGAAAAAUGCUUUGGUUUUAUACCCUUUAAAAAUCACCACUGUACAUGUAUUGUUAUAUAUUCCCUGCUGUCUUUAAUGAUCACCGAGUUGCACUUUUUACUCCUCAAAUCUCCAUUAUUUCCUUAAAUAUUAGAGUCAAGUUUUAACCUUGAGUUCCCUCUAUCUGUGCAUUAAUAGCAGACCCAACCCGAGUCUUUCCAAAUUAACAAAACCCGUCUCUUUUGUAGGGAUGGAACGACGAGCCUUCCUCCCCACCUAGUGGCUAAGUCUCAGACCAACACAAAACACGAGUAAAUAUUGUGUUCCACUAUGUUACGGUCAUAAGUGGCAUAAUGUGUCUAAUUAAAAAAAAAAAAAAAAAAAGAUGCAGAGGAGAACAA